ensembl:lncRNA
AUGGCGGGCUCUCUCUCCGCCGCCCAUGGACUGGACAGAAGUGGUGUCCCUGUCUGUAUCCAUUCUCCUCUCACGUGUACCGGUGCAAUAGCUAGUCACGUGGGGCCUGGGCCCAGCCUGUCACCCCCAGGGACAGGGAACUUGCCCCAGUGCGAAGCAGCAGGCCUCCACACAGGACCUUCUGAAUUACGCAUCGUCCUCACCGAGUUUGUUACAGUGGAAGCGAUUUCCAGGCCUGUUCUUUCCAGUAAACAGAGUCACUCCGUCCCUCCCUCAGAAAUGGAAGCAGCUGUCGCGGUUACAGCGGAACGUGAUUCUCCUGGUGCUGGCGUUUCUGGGGCUUGGUGGACUCCUGUCCUACAUCAGCGUGGCGGACCAGUGGAAAGGUAUCAGCUCCGUGAGCGCCUAGAUGACACUGGGCAGAACGGCAAACCCACCCGUCCUGCCAGCUCCCCAGAAGGCAGAGGCUAACCCAGAAAACGUCCCGGGAGUGCUACCUCAGGUACCCCCAGUGAGCUGUAGGUGCAUUUGUAUCCGGGGUCCGUUCCGGAAGCAUCGGAACAGGACGUAGUACUCAAACAGGUUGGGGAGACUUCUUUUUCUUACCGGGUGCCUGGUGUGCUGACCUCGACCUCACUUGUUCUGGGCUGGGUGGACGGGGCGUGGGGAAGGAGGGAGGGAUAUUCUUCUCUUCGUUCUUCAUUGCACACCUGCUGUUUAGGUGGUAAAGAACGAAACAGACCUGUCCCUUCUUUCGCAGAGCUGCAGGCUGGCGGGAGGGAGAGGCAGGUGAGACGCCAGGAACAAACAGGAGCAGGCAGGUGGCCGCGUGUGUGUCCUACAAGGAGAAGAGCCGACACCCUGAGAGAGACCCUGGGCCCGGCCCUUCGGUCAGGGCGGGACACUGAACUGCAGUCUGAAGGCUGAGGGUGGGGAGCUGGGGUCCCACAAGGGCCUGCACGGGGAAGGGAGCAGGGGGCAGCGCAGGCAGCCCUGGAGGCUCCGUCGGCGGGGGCAGGAUGUCCGAAUUUCACUGUGAAGACGCUCUGGGCGCCGGGUGGACACGGCGGCAGAGUCAGGAGUGGACGGCAGGAGGCGGCAGAGCCCAGCUGUCUGGACUGGGAGAGCCUGCACUUGGAGAAGUCUGGGCAGGACUGGGUCUGUGAGGGGAGGGAGCGCCCCUGGGGGAGGGGCCAAUGGAGGCUGAGAGGAGCCGGGUUGGGAACAUCAGGCGCUCCUUUCUGGACCUGCCCCACCUAUGUGAGGUGCCUGGGGCCUCAGGAGACGUGGGUGGUGGUGUCAAGGUCAGAGUCAGGUGUGUGAGCCCCCAGGGACCGGGUGUCUUCUGGAGAGGGAGGAGGAGGAGCCAGGCCUAGUCCUAGUUGGGGUGGGAAGGAGGCGAGGGGCCCUGGAGAAUAGAGGGCAGUUAGGAGGCCCGCAGGGGACCAGGAAGCAUGCCCUCUGCAGAGAGCUUCCCGGGAGAUGGUCUCUGAGACCGGGGUGCUCUGCGCCUAGGGACGUCCGGUGUCGCUCCUCAGGUGUGGGGGUGGGCGCCGCUGCUGGAGAGGAUGCUGAGCCAGUGCUGGCCUCACACCCUGCGGGGCCGCCCCGGGGAGAAGGAAGGCCGCCCCGCUGCCUCUCCAGGGUCUGUGUGCAAGAGAGUGAAUUUCCCCUUCGUAAAGCCGACUUGCGUUCCCUUGGCUUCUUUCGGCCGCUCUGACACACGGACUCAUAACCGUGGGAAAGCAGAAUGCCGCAUGUCCCCCGAGAAAGUCGCGGGCCCAUGCUCGUGACAUCCACGGUCCCGUCUGGAGUCCAGGGAGGGCCUGCACCGUUAGGGGUGAACGUCCCCAUCCCUUUGGUGCAAGAAUUGGGGGUGAGGCCCUUCCACUUGUCCCCUGGACACGUCUCCCACUCGGCGCUGGUCCCCAAGAUGUUUCUGCGACGGUGCUUUGUUUUGGCCGGACUGGAAUCUCUUGAUACCCCCUUGAGUCGUUCAAAUCUGUCCAAGGAGCAUGUGUUCGCGGCUUAGGUGGAUGUUGAAAAGCAGAGACUGCACCUCACGGGUCGCCCUCCUUCCUGUCCUCGGGGGUGGUGUCCCUGGGCACACCCACCGUAGAGGACUAGCUGAGAGGUCGAGGAUGAGCGCUGUGUCCGUGUUGUCGCCGAGUGUGGCGCCUUUGCCAUAAGUGCUGAGGAUGAGCCGGGCGGCCGGGGACAGGCCUGCAGCUGUGUUCUCAGGGCUGUGUUCUCGGGAUGUGGUUCUAACCCUUUCGUGCUCCCGUCGGGCCUGUGACACGCACCCUCGCCCCCUGAACAUGAGUGUGGGGCACUCCAGCAUUUUCCCUUUGCUGCAGUGUUUUGGUGGGGGUUCCAGUCCUCUCCCCUGCAGUUCGUUUGCAUGUUUCUGGGCCUGGCCCCCCGCAGCCAGCAGGGGACCCAUUCCCAGAUCACUGAGCCCAGUUCACUGCUGCGAACGUGAGCGUCGGGCCAUGUGAAGCCAGCCCACUCACGUCCUCGUGCAGUGAUUCACCACAGACAACAGGCAGAAACUACCCAAAUGUCCACCGAUGGGUGAAUGCAUAAGGAAAACAUGGUAUCUAUAUGCAAUGGGAUGUUACGACGUCCAGAUACCUGCCAUGACGUGGAUGGCCUGAGGACAUUGUGCGAAGUGAAACGAGCCUGUCAAAACAGGCACAUCCAUGAGGUCUCUAGAGUGGGCGGACCAGGUUAGCAGCGGCUGCAGAAGGGGAGUGGGUGUUGUGAGUGGGUGAAGCUUUUUGGGAUGAUGAGCUAGUUUGGGAAAUGGAUGAUGA